rnacentral:tRNA from 1 species
GCCCGUUUGGCUCAGUGGAUGGAGCAUCGGCCUGCAGACCUAAGGGUCCCAGGUUCGAUUCCUGGUCAGGGUA